UUGUGAAACUGUGCAAUACCAAAGCAAAGCAUGGAAUGAGUGAUGCUCUAUUUUCAGAUCUACUAUUAGAUUUUGGGGAUAUGCUGCCAAUUAAUCACAAUCUACCAUCUUCAAUGUAUGAGGAAGCAAUAUAAAAACUGUGAAAGCUGCCCUAAAUGUGGUUUGUCACGAUGGAAGCUAACGAAAAACAAGGUUGAGAAGAAAGGUGUUCCUGCUAAGGUGGUUUGGUAUUUCCCUCCCAUUCCAAGAUUUAAGCGCAUGUUUAAAUCUUUAGAGACCUCAAGAAAUUUAACAUGGCAUGCAGAUUCUACAAGAAUUGUUGGUCAGUUACGUCAUCCAGUUGAUUCACCAUCAUGGAAGUUGGUAGAUCAUAUGUGGCCCGACUUUGAAAGUGAGCCAAGAAAUCUUCGCCUAGCACUUGCAGCUGAUGGCAUUAAUCCUCAUAGCAACCUUAGUAGUCGGUACAGCUGUUGGCCAAUCAUGUUGGUCAACUAUAAUUUACCUCCAAAUAUGUGUAUGAAAAGGAAAUACAUCAUGCUAACUAUGCUCAUUUCAGGGCCUAAGCAGCCUGGAAACGAUAUUGAUGUCUAUCUGGAGGUGUUAGUUGAAGAUUUGCAACAAUUGUGGGAAGGAGUUGAUGGAGUCUACGAUGCUUAUCGAAGGCAGUUCUUCACUCUUAAAGCAGUCUUAUUAUGGACCAUCAAUGACUUUCCUGCCUAUGGUAACCUUAGUGGAUGUACUACACAUGGUUAUUAUGCAUGUCCAAUAUGCGGAGAAGAUACUUAUGCAAGUCACUUGGAAAAUGGGAAGAAAAUGUCAUUUGCUGGCCAUAGACGAUUCCUAUCACGGUUUCAUCCCUAUCGUAGGCAAAUGAAGGAGUUUAAUGGCGUGGAGGAACUUGGAGAAGCAGCUAAACCAUUAUCUGAGAUUAAGUUGUUUGACAAACUUUCUGACAUAAGAUGUGAGUUUGGAAAGAGGAUAAGUGUGAGAGGGAAAAAAAAGAAUGCAAAGGCUAAUAUAUUGGAAGUCAAUAUAGAAGAAAAAGAUUUAGGAGCAACAAUUUUCAGAAAAUGUUGGAAGAAGAAGUCAAUCUUUUUUAAUAUUCCUUACUGGAAACACCUGCAUGUAAGGCAUUGUCUCGAUGUUAUGCACAUCGAGAAAAAUGUCUUUGAAUCCCUCAUUAAUACUUUGAUGAAUGUUAAAGGAAAAACCAAGGAUAAUGUGGCAGCUAGGUUGGACAUGGUUGAGAUGGGAAUUAGGCCUGAAUUAACACCUAUAUUUGGGGAGAAGAGAACAUAUCUUCCUCUUGCUGCGUGCUCAUUCACAAAAAAAAGAAAAGUUACAGGUGUGCAAGUCAUUAAAGUAUAUAAAAGUUCCAGAAGGGUUCUCUUCGAAUAUGAAUAACAUUGUGUGCAUGGAUCAGUUGAAGUUGACUUGCUUGAAAUCCCAUGAUUGUCAUGUUUUAAUGCAGCAUUUCUUGCCAAUAGUUAUACGUGAUGCGCUGCCAAAACAUGUUAGAUAUGCUAUCAUAAGAUUAUGCUUCUUCUUCAAAGAUAUUUGUUGCAAAGUUAUAGAUGUAGCCAAGUUAGAUAAGCUGCAAUCUGACUUGGUUGUUACACUCUGCUUAUUGGAGCAAUAUUUUCCCCCAUCUUUCUUCGAUAUCAUGCUUCACUUAACUGUCCAUCUCGUUCGAGAAGUCCGAUUAUGUGGGCCAGUUUACUUCAGAUGGAUGUAUCCAUUUGAAAGAUACAUGAAGGUGCUUAAGAGUUAUGUAGGCAGUCGAAAACAUCCUGAAGGUUGCAUUGUUCAAAGAUAUUUAGCAGAAGAAGCAAUUGAGUUUUGUUCAGAAUACCUCAAUGACGUUGAUCCUAUUGGAGUUCCUCAAUCAAUUCGAGACCCAAAAGCAAAUGUUUCUGGCUUGCAAGCAUGCAACACACCAAUUAUAGUGCAACAAGUUGAUCUGCAACAAGCACAUUUGACUGUGCUAAAAAAUAUGGAGGAAGUAUCUCCCUAUAUAAUUGAGCAUAAAACCUUUUUGAAAUCAAUGUUUCCCAAAAAAGAGAAAGAUGAAAGGUGGAUACAAGAUGCUCACAACAAGAGGUUUAUUGAUUGGUUUCGUACAAAGGUGGCUGCUGAAAUUGACAGUUGCAAUGGUGGAACAACAUCGACAUUAACAUGGUUGGCCCAUGGACCUCGUGCACAAAUUAUUAAGUACAAUAGUUAUGUGAUAAAUGGCAAUUUAUACCAAACAAAAGCGCGGGAUGAUGACAGAGUUUGCCAAAACAGUGGGGUUUCUUUAGUUGCCAACACCAUGCUUGUAUGCAGUGCUAAAGAUAAGAAUCCCUUGCUAGCUGAUGUGUCUUUCUAUGGAGUGAUUGAAGAAAUAUGGGAAUUAGACUAUCAUCAAUUUCACGUUCCUCUUUUCAAAUGCGCUUGGGUUGCAAAUGACAAAGGAAUAAUCAACAACGAUGAAUGUGGCUUCACCUUAGUCAACUUGAACAAACGAGGACACAAGAAUGACGAAUUUGUGCUUGCAAGUCAAGUCAACCAAGUCUUUUAUAUUGAUGAUCCAUUACAAAAGGGGUGGUCAAUUGUGCUCCCAGUUCCAAAUAGAUGUUAUGAGGGAGAUGAUGAUGAUUGGAGCAGUAUUCCUGAUUCUAGACCAAUUGAUGAUAUUGAUACUCAUUGCAUUCCUACUAAAGAAAGAUAUUUUAGAUCGGAAAUUGAGACAAUACUAGAUGGGUCGUAAAAAACAAGGAGUAGCAGUUGAGGAUAUACAUGGAAUAGUCGAUGCUGAGCUACAUGGAGUAGCCGAUGCAGAGCUACAUGAAGUUACUGAUAGAGAAGAACGUUCUGUAGAUGUGCAGAAGAACAAACGAGGUCCUACAUCAAUGUGUAAACUCACUGCAGCUGCAAGAU